rnacentral:rRNA from 1 species
UGGGUAACCUGCCUCAAAGAGGGGAAUAGCCUCCCGAAAGGGAGAUUAAUACCGCAUAAUAUGUUUAGGUCGCAUGACUUUAACAUCAAAAGGAUUUUUCUUUUAGAAAUUCCACUUUGAGAUGGACCCGCGGCGCAUUAGCUAGUUGGUGAGGUAACGGCUCACCAAGGCAACGAUGCGUAGCCGACCUGAGAGGUNAUCGGCCACAUUGGAACUGAGACACGGUCCAGACUCCGUAGG